CCCCUCUCAGGGUCACACCUGGGGAGUUUCCAGUACUCUACCAGUCUUGGCUAUGGGAGGGAGAGUCAAGCAGAGGUCUACCCAUUCCAUUCCUGGCUUGGACAAUGGCUAGCAAGCGGCAGGCAAUCUGCUACAAGU